UACGUAGGUGGCAAGCGUUGUCCGGAUUUAUUGGGCGUAAAGGGCGCGUAGGCGGCUUGAUAAGCGUGCGGUGAAAGCCCGGGGCUCAACCCCGGGUCGGCCGUGCGAACUGUCGAGCUGGAGCACUGUAGAGGCAGGUGGAAUUCCGGGUGUAGCGGUGGAAUGCGUAGAGAUCCGGAGGAAGACCGGUGGCGAAGGCGGUCUGCUGGGCAGUUUCUGGACACUGAGCGCGACGAGCGUGGGAGCAAAC
rnacentral:rRNA from 1 species